UGGGGAAUAUUGCGCAAUGGGGGAAAGCCUGAUCCAGCCAUGCCGCGUGAGUGAUGAAGGCCUUAGGGUUGUAAUGCUCUUUUGGCGGGGACGAUAAUGACGGUACCCGCAGAAUAAGCCCCGGCUAACUUCGUGCCAGCAGCCGCGGUAAUACGAAGGGGGCUAGCGUUGUUCGGAAUUACUGGGCGUAAAGCGCACGUAGGCGGAUCAGCAAGUCAGGGGUGAAAUCCCGGGGCUCAACCUCGGAACUGCCUCUGAUACUGCUAGUCUAGAGUCCGGAAGAGGUGGGUGGAAUUCCUAGUGUAGAGGUGAAAUUCGCAGAUAUUAGGAAGAACACCGGUGGCGAAGGCGGCCCACUGGUCCGGUACUGACGCUGAGGUGCGAAAGCGUGGGGAGCAAACAGGAUUAGAUACCCAUGUAGUCCCUGAGCGGGCUGGCAAGGCGCAU
rnacentral:rRNA from 1 species